UACGUAGGGGGCAAGCGUUGUCCGGAUUUAUUGGGCGUAAAGAGCUCGUAGGUGGUUCGGUAAGUCGGAUGUGAAAUCUCCGGGCUUAACCCGGAGCGGUCAAGUGAUACUGUCGGACUAGAGUACAGAAGGGGCAACUGGAAUUCUCGGUGUAGCGGUGAAAUGCGUAGAUAUCGAGAGGAACACCUGCGGCGAAGGCGGGUUGCUGGGCUGAUACUGACGCUGAUGCGCGAAAGCCAGGGGAGCGAACGGG
rnacentral:rRNA from 1 species